UUCAAAAAAUGUCUUUUUGAUUUAAAUUUAAAGUCUGAUCUGCUCUAUGAAAUAAUUUAAAUGGCUGCAGUAUUUUAACUGUACAAAGGUAGCAUAAUAAUUAGAUUAUUAAUUGUAAUCUUGUAUGAAUGAUUAGAUAAAAUAUUAACUGUUUCUUAAUAAAAUUUAUAAUUUUAAUUUUAAGUAAAAAUGCUUAAAUAAUUUUAAGGGACGAGAAGACCCUAUAGAUUUUUAUAUUAAAUUAAAUUAAAGAAUUUUUUUAUUUGAAUAAUUUGGGGUAAUAUUUUAAUGGGGCAUUAUAAAAAUUAUAGAAUUUUUUAUAUUUAGAACAUAUAUAAAUGAAUUAUUUAAUAGAGUUAUUAAUAAAAAUAAAAAUACCUUAGGGAUAACAGCGUAAUAAUUUUAUUAAGAUCAUAUUUUUAAAAUUGAUUGCGACCUCGAUGUUGA
rnacentral:rRNA from 1 species